UACAGAGGUCCCAAGCGUUGUUCGGAUUCAUUGGGCGUAAAGGGUGCGUAGGUGGCGCCGUAAGUCGGGUGUGAAAUUUCGGAGCUUAACUCCGAAACUGCAUUCAAUACUGCGGUGCUUGAGGACUGGAGAGGAGACUGGAAUUCAUGGUGUAGCAGUGAAAUGCGUAGAGAUCAUGAGGAAGACCAGUGGCGAAGGCGGGUCUCUGGACAGUUCCUGACACUGAGGCACGAAGGCCAGGGGAGCAAACGGG
rnacentral:rRNA from 1 species